GGAAUCUUGGGCAAUGGGCGCAAGCCUGACCCAGCGACGCCGCGUGAGGGAUGAAGGCCUUCGGGUCGUAAACCUCUGUCAGGAGGGAAGAACGUUCGCGAGGUGAACAAUCUCGUGGGUUGACGGUACCUCCGAAGGAAGCGCCGGCUAACUCCGUGCCAGCAGCCGCGGUAAUACGGAGGGCGCAAGCGUUGUUCGGAAUCACUGGGCGUAAAGCGCGUGUAGGCGGCCGGGCAAGUCGGAUGUGAAAUCCCGAGGCUCAACCUCGGAACUGCAUUCGAAACUGCUCGGCUCGAGUCCCGGAGAGGAUGGCGGAAUUCCCGGUGUAGGGGUGAAAUCCGUAGAUAUCUGGAGGAACACCAGUGGCGAAGGCGGCUCUCUGGACCAAUACUGACGCUGAGGCGCGAAAGCGUGGGGAGCAAAC
rnacentral:rRNA from 1 species